rnacentral:rRNA from 1 species
GCGUGCCUAACACAUGCAAGUCGAACGGAACUUUUUUAAAAGAUUUCUUCGGAAUGAUUUUGAUUAAGUUUAGUGGCGGACGGGUGAGUAACGCGUGAGUAACCUGCCUCUAAGAGGGGAAUAACAUUCUGAAAAGAAUGCUAAUACCGCAUAACAUAUAUUUAUCGCAUGGUAGAUAUAUCAAAGAUUUAUCGCUUAGAGAUGGACUCGCGUCCGAUUAGUUAGUUGGUGAGGUAACGGCUCACCAAGACUGCGAUCGGUAGCCGGACUGAGAGGUUGAACGGCCACAUUGGGACUGAGACACGGCCCAGACUCCUACGGGAGGCAGCAGUGGGGGAUAUUGCGCAAUGGGGGAAACCCUGACGCAGCAACGCCGCGUGAAGGAUGAAGGUCUUCGGAUUGUAAACUUCUUUUAUUAAGGACGAAGAAAGUGACGGUACUUAAUGAAUAAGCUCCGGCUAACUACGUGCCAGCAGCCGCGGUAAUACGUAGGGAGCAAGCGUUGUCCGGAUUUACUGGGUGUAAAGGGUGCGUAGGCGGCUUUGCAAGUCAGAUGUGAAAUCUAUGGGCUCAACCCAUAGCCUGCAUUUGAAACUGCAGAGCUUGAGUGAAGUAGAGGCAGGCGGAAUUCCCCGUGUAGCGGUGAAAUGCGUAGAGAUGGGGAGGAACACCAGUGGCGAAGGCGGCCUGCUGGGCUUUAACUGACGCUGAGGCACGAAAGCGUGGGUAGCAAACAGGAUUAGAUACCCUGGUAGUCCACGCUGUAAACGAUGAUUACUAGGUGUGGGGGGUCUGACCCCUUCCGUGCCGGAGUUAACACAAUAAGUAAUCCACCUGGGGAGUACGGCCGCAAGGUUGA